rnacentral:rRNA from 1 species
UACGAAGGGGGCUAGCGUUGCUCGGAAUCACUGGGCGUAAAGGGUGCGUAGGCGGGUUUUUAAGUCAGGGGUGAAAUCCUGGAGCUCAACUCCAGAACUGCCUUUGAUACUGAAGAUCUUGAGUCCGGGAGAGGUGAGUGGAACUGCGAGUGUAGAGGUGAAAUUCGUAGAUAUUCGCAAGAACACCAGUGGCGAAGGCGGCUCACUGGCCCGGUACUGACGCUGAGGCACGAAAGCGUGGGGGAG